GCGCUCCUUUGUAUAGGCAUGAAAUGAGAUUACUGUGGAAGUAUGGAAGCCUCUCUAACUGUCUGUGAUAAAUUAGAUAAUGUUUUUGCCACUACCUCCAACUGCUGAGUGAUUGCAUUGUUUUGCUCUCUUGUCCCAAUGCUAGUUUGCAACAUCGAAACAUCUUUAACAUUAUUUGUAUCAUAAGUCUCCUCAUUAUCCGCCAUAAGUUCUAUCAAAUCAUAAGCUUCGUCCUCCGUCUUCCUUCUGAUGUCUCCUU
rnacentral:lncRNA from 1 species